GACGAACGCUGGCGGCGUGCUUAACACAUGCAAGUCGAACGGAAAGGCCCUGCUUUUGUGGGGUGCUCGAGUGGCGAACGGGUGAGUAACACGUGAGUAACCUGCCCUUGACUUUGGGAUAACUUCAGGAAACUGGGGCUAAUACCGGAUAGGAGCUCCUGCUGCAUGGUGGGGGUUGGAAAGUUUCGGCGGUUGGGGAUGGACUCGCGGCUUAUCAGCUUGUUGGUGGGGUAGUGGCUUACCAAGGCUUUGACGGGUAGCCGGCCUGAGAGGGUGACCGGCCACAAUGGGACUGAGAUACGGCCCAGACUCCAACGGGAGGCAGCAGGGGGGAAUAUGGCACAAUGGGCGGAAGCCUGAUGCAGCGACGCCGCGUGCGGGAUGACGGCCUUCGGGGUGUAAACCGCUUUCGCCUGUGACGAAGCGUGAGUGACGGUAAUGGGUAAAGAAGCACCGGCUAACUACGUG
rnacentral:rRNA from 1 species